GAUUGCCUCAGUAACUGCGAGUGAAGCGGCAAAAGCUCAAAUUUGAAAUCUGUGUCCUUCCGGGCACAGAGUUGUAAUUUUGAGAUACGUUUUCGACCGACAGGCCUGCCUUAAGUCCCUUGGAACAGGGCGUCGCAGAGGGUGAGAAUCCCGUGAACGGUAGGCCUCGAGGCUCAUGAUACGUAUUCAACGAGUCGAGUUGUUUGGGAAUGCAGCUCAAAAUGGGUGGUAAAUUUCAUCUAAAGCUAAAUAUUGGGGAGAGACCGAUAGCGCACAAGUAGAGUGAUCGAAAGAUGAAAAGCACUUUGAAAAGAGAGUUAAAAAGUACGUGAAAUUGUUGAAAGGGAAGCGCUUGAGACCAGACUCAAUCUUUGUUGAUCAACUUCAGUUAUCUGUUGUGCACUCUUCAAUCUUUGGGACAGCAUCGGUUCUUGCGGAGGGACAAAGCCUCGGGAAAUGUGGCACUCUUCGGGGUGUGUUAUAGUCCCUUGGGGAAUGCCUCCAGCAGGGUCCGAGGACCGCGCUCCGGCUAGGAUGCUGUCAAAAUGGUCUUCAGCGACCCGUCUUGAAACACGGACCAAGGAGUCUAACAUCUGUGCGAGUGUUCGGGUGGAAAACCCUUGCGCGUAAUGAAAGUGAACGGAGGUGGGAAUCGUGAGAUGCACCAUCGACCGAUCCUGAAGUAUUCCGAAGGAUUUGAGUAUGAGCAUAGCUGUUGGGACCCGAAAGAUGGUGAACUAUGCCUGAAUAGGGUGAAGCCAGGGGAAACUCUGGUGGAGGCUCGCAGCGGUUCUGACGUGCAAAUCGAUCGUCAAAUUUGGGUAUAGGGGCGAAAGACUAAUCGAACCAUCUAGUAGCUGGUCCUUGCC
rnacentral:rRNA from 1 species